rnacentral:rRNA from 1 species
AGCUCGGGUCACGAACCGGAUUAGAUACCCGGGUAGUCCGAGCUGUAAACGAUGUCUGCUAGGUGUGACACAGGCUACGAGCCUGUGUUGUGCCGUAGGGAAGCCGUGAAGCAGACCGCCUGGGAAGUACGUCCGCAAGGAUGAAACUUAAAGGAAUUGGCGGGGGAGCACUACAACCGGAGGAGCCUGCGGUUUAAUUGGACUCAACGCCGGACAUCUCACCAGCAUCGACUGUAGUAAUGACGAUCAGGUUGAUGACCUUAUCCGAGCUUCAGAGAGGAGGUGCAUGGCCGCCGUCAGCUCGUACCGUGAGGCGUCCUGUUAAGUCAGGCAACGAGCGAGACCCGCAUCCUUACUUGCCAGCAGUACCGCGAGGUAGCUGGGGACAGUAGGGAGACCGCCGCUGCCAAAGCGGAGGAAGGAACGGGCAACGGUAGGUCAGUAUGCCCCGAAUGUGCUGGGCAACACGCGGGCUACAAUGGUCGAGACAAAGGGUUCCUACUCCGAAAGGAGACGGUAAUCUCAGAAACUCGAUCGUAGUUCGGAUUGUGGGCUGAAACUCGCCCACAUGAAGCUGGAUUCGGUAGUAAUCGCGCCUCAGAAGGGCGCGGUGAAUACGUCCCUGCUCC